rnacentral:rRNA from 1 species
UACGUAGGGUGCAAGCGUUAAUCGGAAUUACUGGGCGUAAAGCGUGCGCAGGCGGUAAUGUAAGACAGAUGUGAAAUCCCCGGGCUCAACCUGGGACCUGCAUUUGUGACUGCAUUGCUGGAGUGCGGCAGAGGGGGAUGGAAUUCCGCGUGUAGCAGUGAAAUGCGUAGAUAUGCGGAGGAACACCGAUGGCGAAGGCAAUCCCCUGGGCCUGCACUGACGCUCAUGCACGAAAGCGUGGGGAGCAAACAGG